rnacentral:lncRNA from 1 species
AUUUGAACAUGCUGGACAGGAUGACCUGGGAGGUUAUAGCAAUCUUUCCUACAGCCUCACACGAAUAUAAACAGUAGAUGCCUGUGAAGGACUCUUGCACAUACACGUAUUCCCAAAGGCACUUAUUAUACCUGGUUGCAGCUGAAUACAGAUAUUGACGGAGACCUCUGAGAGGAGAAACCAAGAUCAUUUAUGACUAUGUCCUCAUUAGGAUCUCAAAUUUCACGGGCACCACAAGGCUACCCCAGCUCAGAUUUAAUCAGCAGCAGACACCCAUCAGAAGGAAGGAAGGGCCAUCCCUGCCCCCUGAUGUCUAUUUGCUCCAAGAGCCAGGCCUGCAGAUAUGAAGAUGAGUCACCGUUCCAGCAGUGUCAGUGAUGUGACUGAUACUACAUGUGUCAGAAACCAUAUUCACAGUUUUACUAGUACACUUUGAAUCAGGAAUCCAGCUGGGAAAUAAUUCCCAAACCUAUGUUGCCGGACAUUGUUAAAUACGCUCCCAUGAUCAGAUUCUUCAUCAACAGG